rnacentral:rRNA from 1 species
AGUGAACGCUGGCGGUAGGCCUAACACAUGCAAGUCGGACGGCAGCACAGUAAGAGCUUGCUCUUACGGGUGGCGAGUGGCGGACGGGUGAGGAAUACAUCGGAAUCUACUUUUUCGUGGGGGAUAACGUAGGGAAACUUACGCUAAUACCGCAUACGACCUACGGGUGAAAGCAGGGGAUCUUCGGACCUUGCGCGAUUGAAUGAGCCGAUGUCGGAUUAGCUAGUUGGCGGGGUAAAGGCCCACCAAGGCGACGAUCCGUAGCUGGUCCGAGAGGAUGAUCAGCCACACUGGAACUGAGACACGGUCCAGACUCCUACGGGAGGCAGCAGUGGGGAAUAUUGGACAAUGGGCGCAAGCCUGAUCCAGCCAUACCGCGUGGGUGAAGAAGGCCUUCGGGUUGUAAAGCCCUUUUGUUGGGAAAGAAAAGCAGCAGGUUAAUACCCCGCUGUUCUGACGGUACCCAAAGAAUAAGCACCGGCUAACUUCGUG